rnacentral:tRNA from 1 species
GGGGGUACAGCUCAGCAGUAGAGCACAUGCUUAGCAUGCAUGAGGUCCUGGGUUCAAUCCUCUCUACGUCCA